GUACUUGUACCGACUGGAUGAGCAGCGAACGGGUGAGUAACGCGUGGGGAAUCUGCCUUUGAGCGGGGGACAACAUUUGGAAACGAAUGCUAAUACCGCAUAAAAACUUUAAACACAAGUUUUAAGUUUGAAAGAUGCAAUUGCAUCACUCAAAGAUGAUCCCGCGUUGUAUUAGCUAGUUGGUGAGGUAAAGGCUCACCAAGGCGAUGAUACAUAGCCGACCUGAGAGGGUGAUCGGCCACAUUGGGACUGAGACACGGCCCAAACUCCUACGGGAGGCAGCAGUAGGGAAUCUUCGGCAAUGGACGAAAGUCUGACCGAGCAACGCCGCGUGAGUGAAGAAGGUUUUCGGAUCGUAAAACUCUGUUGGUAGAGAAGAACGUUGGUGAGAGUGGAAAGCUCAUCAAGUGACGGUAACUACCCAGAAAGGGACGGCUAACUACGUGCCAGCAGCCGCGGUAAUACGUAGGUCCCGAGCGUUGUCCGGAUUUAUUGGGCGUAAAGCGAGCGCAGGUGGUUUAUUAAGUCUGGUGUAAAAGGCAGUGGCUCAACCAUUGUAUGCAUUGGAAACUGGUAGACUUGAGUGCAGGAGAGGAGAGUGGAAUUCCAUGGGUUAGCGGGU
rnacentral:rRNA from 1 species